rnacentral:lncRNA from 1 species
GAGCUUUGACAAGCUGUAACUUUUGAUCCAACCGUCCACUUAGUGUGAAAUUUUGCAUCCAAAUACUAGUAUAAGCCUUCUAUAUGCUCAGAAAAUUUCAGCCCAACCCAACUUACAGAUUGCAAGAAAACGCCCAAAAACCGCACUGAUGACACUCGGCCGCAAUCUUGAAAUUUGAUGUAGAAACUCCAGAAGUGAUUUCUCCUUUGUCAACCGUUAACUCCAGCUCAAAAUUGAAUAGCCGCUUGAUCUCCAAAUCUUCUAUUAUCAAGCCAAAAGUUAUGUCGAUCCAACUGAUAGAUCUUCAGAUAUCACAGAAACCCUAUCCAACCCUAGACUGCGAACUUUUGACAACCCUUUGUACUAAAACCCAGAUAUCUCUUGAUUGCAUCGUUAGAUUAACAAAAAUUUUUGUAUACACUU